CGUGGAGUGGUUUGUCUGGUUUAUUCCGAUAACGAGCGAGACUCUAACCUACUAAAUAGUUGGCAGUUUACUUCGACUGUACAGCUUCUUAACGAGAUUCGCGUCUUCAAGGCGCAAGAAAUGGAGCAAUAACAGGUCUGUGAUGCCCUUAGAUGUUCGGGGCCGCACGCGUGCUACAAUGAUGGUAACAGCGUGAUUGUCCUCGCCCGAGAGGGCUUGGCAAACAGUUGAGAUAUUAUUAUGGCUGGAAUUGAGUGUUGAAAUUUUCUCUCAUGAACGAGGAAUUCCAAGUAAAUGCGAGUCAUCAACUUGCAUUGAUUACGUCCCUGCCCUUUGUAC
rnacentral:rRNA from 1 species